AGUGAACGCUGGCGGUAGGCCUAACACAUGCAAGUCGAACGGCAGCACAGUAAGAGCUUGCUCUUACGGGUGGCGAGUGGCGGACGGGUGAGGAAUACAUCGGAAUCUACUUUUUCGUGGGGGAUAACGUAGGGAAACUUACGCUAAUACCGCAUACGACCUACGGGUGAAAGUAGGGGAUCUUCGGACCUUGCGCGAUUGAAUGAGCCGAUGUUGGAUUAGCUAGUUGGCGGGGUAAAGGCCCACCAAGGCGACGAUCCGUAGCGGGUCUGAGAGGAUGAUCAGCAACACUGGAACUGAGAACCGGUCCAGAUUCCUCGGGGGGGCAGCAGUGGGAAAUAUUGGAAAUGGGGCGCAAGCCUGCUCCAGCCAUCCCGCGUGGGUGAAGAAGGCCUUCGGGUUGUAAAGCCCUUUUGUUGGGAAAGAAAAGCAGCAGGUUAAUACCCCGCUGUUCUGACGGUACCCAAAGAAUAAGCACCGGCUAACUUCGU
rnacentral:rRNA from 1 species